CGGCGCGCGCCGCGUCCCGGGGAGACCCAGCAGCGCAGCCGCUCGCGCUCCGGGCCGGCGAGAUGGAGCCGGCCGCCGCUGGGGAGGGCUCGUCCGCGGGUGGCCAGGAGGCCGGGACGCCGCAGCGCUGGGAGGAAGCCAAGACUUUCUAUGACAGCCUGACCCCUAGAAAGAAACCCAAACCACCAAAGCCUGAGAAUGCAAUAACAAUCGCAGUCUCCUCGCGGGCUCUGUUUCGCAUGGAGGAAGAGCAGAAGAUUUACACAGAGCAUGGGGUGGAGGCAUAUGUGAAAUACCAGCUGGACCAUGAGAAUGAACCCUUCCUACCUGGUGCUGCCUUCCCAUUUGUCAAGGCCCUUGAAGCUGUCAACACUCAGUUGCGAGAGCUCUACCCCGACGGUGAAGAACUCUUUGAUAUUGUCCUCAUGACUAAUAACCACGCCCAGGUCGGGGUCCGCCUGAUCAACAGCAUCAAUCAUCACGAUCUGUUCAUCGAGAGGUUCUGCAUGACGGGAGGGAACAGCCCCACUUGCUACCUGAAGGCCUAUCACACCAACCUGUACCUCUCCUCUGAUGCCGAGAAAGUGAGUGAGGCCAUUGAACAGGGAAUCGCCGCAGCCACCAUGUUCAGCCCCAGCAAAGACGUGAAAGUGUCGGAGAGCCAGCUGCGGGUGGCGUUCGACGGGGACGCCGUCCUCUUCUCGGACGAGUCGGAGCAGAUUGUGAAGGCGCACGGCCUCGACAUGUUUUUUGAACACGAAAAGGCUUAUGAGAACAAGCCGCUGGCCCAGGGGCCACUGAAGGGCUUUCUGGAAUCCCUGGGGAAGCUGCAGAAGAAGUUCUACUCCAAGGGGCUGAGACUGGAGUGUCCGAUUCGCACCUACCUGGUCACUGCCCGGAGCGCUGCCAGCUCUGGGGCUCGUGCCCUAAAGACUCUCCGCAGCUGGGGACUAGAAACGGAUGAAGCCCUGUUCCUGGCUGGAGCCCCCAAGGGUCCGCUGCUGGAGAAGAUCCGUCCGCACAUCUUCUUCGACGACCAGAUGUUCCAGGUGGAGGGGGCGAAGGAGAGUGGCACCAUCGCGGCCCACGUCCCGUACGGUGUAGCCCAGAAGCAGAGGCGGAUGGCUCAAGAGAAACAAACCAAGAACAGCAAGUAGCCGUAGCUGGCGGUGGCAACUGUGACUGCAGGUGCUCGCUGACCAGGGCACCGCUCGCGGAUUGAUAUCCGGGUCUGAGCGUCUUUGAUUAGUAUUGAAGUUGCAGCUGCCUUGUCUGGGUGGGUUGAAGGAAAGGUUUCCUUUUGCCUUUGUGUUGCACUUUGACUGUCUCUGUCCCGCCAGCCCCCAUCACCACCCAUGCCCCAUGCAUAAAGGUCAGAAGGGUCAACCAAUGCCUGAACCCAACUCUGCUACCUUUGCUCCUGUGUCUCCGAAUCAGCCAUUGCUGACUUGCGCCCCAUCGGCUGUCGCCUCUCUGCCCUCGUGCCUAAGCCAGCACCAGCCAUUCUGAUCCUGCUAUGCCUCCCCUGUGUUUCAGGGGCCCAUAGAAACCCAGAGGAGCUCACACUUAAGUUCUGCACCAGAUGUUGACCACAAAGCUUGGAGAACUUAAACUGAAACCCAGCCAGACUCAAGAAGCCUACAGGAGGGGGGACCUUGCGUUGGACAGGAUCUGUGAGAACAGGGCUCUCCUUCUGGGGAACUCAUAUGCCAGCCCAAUUUAAACUUUUGGUGCUCAUUAAAAAAAACAAACAGGGAAAUUCCCAAUCCAAGAACUUUGAUAUAUUAAAAAAAAAAAAAGUCAAGGCUGACAAUGUUUCAAUGGAAUCCAGCUUACGCGCAGAAACAAUGUUACAAUAUUGUUACAAACCAUUUACAGGUUUAAACAUUAAAUGGUCUGGAAAUGAGGUUAAAAGAUGCAGCCAAUUUCCCACCGCUGUUGCUGCACCCACCCAAACUUAAGUUUGUCUGUGAACGUUUGGGGAAAUAGAAAGACUGGUCAACGCUAGAUAAGAAAAUCUCAAGCCCUAUUUCCUAGUCAGUGUUUUGGGCCAAUAUGUUAUGGCCCAAAUUCGGGUGCUACUAUUAGAUACCUAAAUCCAUAAGGUGCCACAAGGACUUCUUGUUGUUUUUGCUAAACGCAUAAGUAACGCCUGGAAAAAAGGCAUCUCAAGUUGAGCAUCUGAAAAUUGAGCCACACAAAGUCAGAAGCCACUUUUCAAUAUGUGGCUUCCCGGCCUCUGGACCUAGGCUGGGCAUUUGUGUAAGUUGAAAGACAGCCCUAACCUAUGGGGGGGGGGAGACACACUUUCUCGAAAUCGACAAUUACAUCAGCUGAGAAUUUGAGCCUGAGUGUUUCGUUAGCCAUAGCAAAAUUCAAGUUUCAUUCAACCUGAGGCUACUGGGCAAUUGAUAACCCUGCUCCUGGCACUUUCCUAAGACCUGUGGUGACUCCUGCAAUUGAAAGAUGCUGCUAACACAAUGGGAAAGAAUUAAAUCCCCAAUUCAGAAAGGAAUCCGAGAGCUGUUCUGAAGCCAUGUAUGGAAUUCAUUCAACAACAUUCUUACUUGAAGGUGCAGCCUGGAGGAACAAUAGAAGGUUAAAGAUCAUUUUAAAAAAUACUCCUUCCCCGUUGGUGUGUUCUAGGUAGCACAAGUAGCAAUGCCCAUGGUUAAGAUUGCCUGGCUCUUACCGUUAUAAGACCACGUUUUCAAUUGCUUAGAACUUAGACCGUUUCAUUUGGGCUGAAAUUUUCCAUGUGAGGUGGCUGCCUCUGGCUGACUUUUUUUUGCACAUUUUCAGUUACAAUGGUUUGGCCAUUUCCAAGGAUGGGGGUUCUUAUAUAUCAACUGAAAUAAUAUUAACAAUCAACCGCACGCUUCGCCACCAAUCCUGUAUGUUUGUUCCGUGCACUAAAUCCUGCUUGGACAAUGAAAGCACUGAUAAGUUUUAGCUUGUUUCUCUGGUCAGUUUCCCGUUGAGAUCCACUCUGCUGCCCUGCUGGGGUUGCAGACACCUCGGGGAAGAUUUUUAAAUCCAAACCAAGAAGCUUUAAAGAAAUGAAAUAUCACAAAACCAUUUCUAUUAAUAUUCAGUUUUAUCAAAAGUAGGAGGCGGUUGGGGACGAAACUGUCUGACAGGGACCCUUCCAACCAGCCUGUCGGGAUACGUGCAGGGCUUUCAUGUGAACAUCCAAGGUGCUUCCUGUAGAUUGGCAUUGACUGACAUCUGUGGAAGUUCUGCCAAGUGCAAGCAGUCCAAGUCAGAUCGUCGCCCAAGUCUAGAAGGUGACCUUGCAACAGGAACUACAAGUUGUAAUGAAGACCAGAACAGUCAGCUAACACUUAUGAAAAUGUAUUUCUCUGGGUCUGGGACUUGUUGAAAUAUUGGCAUGGGGACAGGGGGAGUGUGUGAGUGAGCAUAGCCAUCUGCGUGUGUAUAUGGGAGAGUGAUUGUAACGGGUGGUCUUGAGAGUGUGUGUUUGAAAGAGAGAGAUUGUACAUAGGUGCGUGUGAGUGUGUGAGAGAGAGAGAGAGAGAGAUUGUACAUGGAUGCAGGUAUCUGAUUGUGCGUGUGCACGAUAGUGUUACUUGCGGGGGGUGAGUGAGUGAGAGAGAUUAUUUAAAAACAGCACUCUGGGGUCGAGAGAGCUUGCCGCUCUCAAAAGAAACCCCAGGCACCGGGGUUUGACCUGCUUGGCAAGCAGAGCUCGGGUCUAAGGUGCCUCUAGCUCAGGGAAAGAGCCUGUGCCCCAGUUCUGGUGGAGACCAGGGGAAGCACGCGGCCGUCAGAGUGCUGCGUGACUUGCACUUUAAUUUUGUUUCCAACGCUUAAGACAAACAAAAGAGAGAGAAAUGCAGAGGGCCGGGAACAAGUGUAUUGGGCAACUCCUGCGUUUUCUCUUCUCAUUCGCUGUCAGCACGAGGCAAGUAGACCCAGAACUCGCUUCCCUGCUUGUAUUGGGGGGAGGCCCCAGGGGACUCCCCCCAGAAUACAGGACUCCGAGAAAUGAGGAUUCCCCACUGUAGUGCGUGGAUCCUGCCUGCAUUGAAUAGGUUUAUUGCCCUACUCAUGUUUGACAGCCACCAUUCAGGUUUAUCCAUACUGCUUUCUAUGGUGCACCAUCGUUGGCUGAGUUGGAUUUCACUGCUUUUGUGGCUUGCUUGCUUGUGUCCAUCUGUCAUCUCCUGGUUCGGGAUGGAUUUUCCGUCCUGCCAGCAGCCCCCUUGAAAGGUCUCUUAGCUCAUCGCGCACUUGGAUGGCUUGGUGGCGUUUCUUGCAUCGAACCAGCGGCUACUGGGCCCUCUUGGCUGUUGUGUGCGUUUCACUCCUGUGUCCUCUGAUGGUUUUAUCUGUGAAUGAACUGGUGUAGCAAGGGAAAUUCCUAUGCGUGUUUGUCUGUAAUAAACUACAGCCGGUCCUACUUC